UACGUAGGGUCCAAGCGUUAAUCGGAAUUAUUGGGCGUAAAGGGUGCGUAGGCGGCCUGACAAGUCUGAUGUGAAAUCCCUGGGCUCAACCCAGGGCCUGCAUCGGAAACUGUCGGGCUUGAGUAUGGGAGAGGUGAGUGGAAUUUCCGGUGUAGCGGUGAAAUGCGUAGAUAUCGGAAGGAACACCUGUGGCGAAAGCGGCUCACUGGACCAUUACUGACGCUGAGGCACGAAAGCUAGGGGAGCAAACAGG
rnacentral:rRNA from 1 species